CUGAGACCAGCCACCAGGGAAGAAACAUCUCCUUGUGAGCUUUGGUUUCAGGAUCACCCAGAGACUUACAGGACUCAGAAGCUAUGACUGAGAUGACUUCAGAAAGAUACUUCACAUCACAGGACAAAGAUUCAUUACUCUGAAGGGCCAUAGAAAGAGUGGACCAGAUUGGAAAAUGGAAUGUAUGCUUUUGUUCUGUUCUUUUAGCAUCUGAUUAAGGAGUGCCUGGAGGCUCCACUCAUGAUUAGGUUCACUUGUAUAAGGGUUCGGCUCAUACAACCGUGUCCUUGAACCAACAACUUGAACCUAUUAUGAGACUUAGCAGAUGGAGAAAAGAAAAGCAUGGUUACCAGGGGGACCAGCAUCCGAAAACUGUGUUCUGGGGAGCUGUCAUGGCAGACGUGUUUAGUGAUCCCUCAUUGCUUACAGUGCACUGUUACAAUGAAAGAAUCAUAGAAAAUAGGGCUGAAAGGAAUGUCAAGGGAUCAUCUGCCCCAACCCCAA